GCACCGGCUAACUCUGUGCCAGCAGCCGCGGUAAUACAGAGGGUGCGAGCGUUAAUCGGAUUUACUGGGCGUAAAGCGCGCGUAGGUGGUUAAUUAAGUCAAAUGUGAAAUCCCCGAGCUUAACUUGGGAAUUGCAUUCGAUACUGGUUAGCUAGAGUAUGGGAGAGGAUGGUAGAAUUCCAGGUGUAGCGGUGAAAUGCGUAGAGAUCUGGAGGAAUACCGAUGGCGAAGGCAGCCAUCUGGCCUAAUACUGACACUGAGGUGCGAAAGCAUGGGGAGCAAACAGGAUUAGAUACCCUGGUAGUCCAUGCCGUAAACGAUGUCUACUAGCCGUUGGGGGAUUUGAUCCUUUAGUGGCGCAGCUAACGCGAUAAGUAGACCGCCUGGGGAGUACGGUCGCA
rnacentral:rRNA from 1 species